GACGAACGCUGGCGGCGUGCCUAAUACAUGCAAGUCGAACGCAGUGGGGACGGGUGAGUAACACGUGGGUAACCUCCCAUCAGAGGGGAUAACACUUGGAAACAGGUGCUAAACCGAUACUGAUGGAUGGACCCGCGGUGCAUUAGCUAGUUGGUGAGGUAACGGCUCACCAAGGCCACGAUGCAUAGCCGCCCUGAGAGGGUGAACGGACAAACUGGGACGGAGACACGGCCCAGACUCCUACGGGAGGGAGCAGUAGGGAAACUUCCGGAAUGGACGAAAGGCUGACCGAGCAAAGCCGCGUGAGUGAAGAAGGUUUUCGGAUCGUAAAAAUCUGUUGUUAGGGAAGCGGGAUCCAACCAGAAAGCCACGGCUAACUACGUGCCAGCAGCCGCGGUAAUAC
rnacentral:rRNA from 1 species